GACGAACGCUGGCGGUGUGCUUAACACAUGCAAGUCGAACGGUAAGGCCCUUUCGGGGGUACACGAGUGGCGAACGGGUGAGUAACACGUGAGUAACCUGCCCUCAUCUCUGGGAUAACAGUCGGAAACGGUUGCUAGUACUGGAUAUGAGCUUGCAAGGCAUCUUGUGGGUUGGAAAGAUUUUUUUUGGUUGGGGAUGGACUCGCGGCCUAUCAGCUUGUUGGUGAGGUAGUGGCUCACCAAGGCUUCGACGGGUAGCCGGCCUGAGAGGGCGACCGGCCACAUUGGGACUGAGAUACGGCCCAAACUCCUACGGGAGGCAGCAGUGGGGAAUAUUGCACAAUGGACGGAAGUCUGAUGCAGCAACGCCGCGUGCGGGAUGACGGCCUUCGGGUUGUAAACCGCUUUCAAUUGUGACGAAGCUUUUUUGUGACGGUAGCAGUAGAAGAAGCACCGGCUAACUACGUG
rnacentral:rRNA from 1 species